rnacentral:lncRNA from 1 species
AGACACCAGAUCUUACUCUCUCUUUAUUAGUUCUGACAAAGGGAAAAGUCCAUGUGAGAACACCACAGCAAGAAGUCAACAAGCCACAAGCUAGGAAGAGUUCCCUGACCAGGAACAGAAUCAGCGGCAUCUUGAUUGGGAUGCCUAUCCUUCAGAACAACAUGUCACCUGCACUCUGCUGGAGUACAGUAAUGUGAUCACGGUUAAGUGCAACCUCAAUCUCCAGGGCUCAAUUAAUC